rnacentral:rRNA from 1 species
UACGUAGGGUGCAAGCGUUAAUCGGAAUUACUGGGCGUAAAGCGUGCGCAGGCGGUUUUGUAAGUCUGUCGUGAAAUCCCCGGGCUCAACCUGGGAAUUACGAUGGAGACUGCAAGGCUAGAAUCUGGCAGAGGGGGGGUAGAAUUCCACGUGUAGCAGUGAAAUGCGUAGAGAUGUGGAGGAACACCGAUGGCGAAGGCAGCCCCCUGGGUCAAGGAUU